ACUUCCGCUCGCCGUCGCCCCGGGAGCCCGAGCGCUGUGCACAAGCAGGAGCGGGCUUUGGGGGCGGGGGUGCAACACAGCCAAUGGGCAACACGGCGCCUUUCGGGGACAAAGGAUUCUGACGUGGUUCCCUCUGAGACUGAAGUUGAUCCCUGCCGAUGUCUCCAGUGUCACUCUGCAAACUGAAGCAUCAACUGCUGAGGCAAGCAACAGUGGUUUGUGUCAUGGAAUUGUCUUCUUCUCCUGGCCCUGGACCCUAUGGAUAUCAAGACCAGCGACAUAAUUUGUGUGACCCAGUGCAAAACGAAAAUGUGGGGCUAUUUGUUCAAAAACCAGGAAUAAAGUGCCAUUAAAGG